GAUCAUGGCUCAGAAUGAACGUUGGCGGCGUGGAUUAGGCAUGCAAGUCGAGCGAGAAUUUGCGAUUGGAAGCUUCGGCCGAAGAAAGUGAAGGAAAGCGGCAAACGGCGUAGUAAGGCGUAGGUACGUACCCUCGGGUCGGGAAUAGCCAUGGGAAACUGUGGGUAAUGCCCGAUAAUCUCUGCGGAGCAAAGGUGUGAUUCCGCCGGAGGAGCGGCUUACGUGAUAUUAGCUAGUUGGUGGGGUAAUGGCCUACCAAGGCAACGAUGUCUAGGGGGUGUGAGAGCAUGGCCCCCACGACCGGAACUGAGACACUGUCCCGGACACCUACGGGUGGCUGCAGUCGAGAAUCUUCCGCAAUGGGCGAAAGCCUGACGGAGCGACGCCGCGUGGUGGAUGAAGGCCCUUGGGUUGUAAACACCUGUCAGAGGGGAUGAAAUCAUGGUUGGCAAUCCUUCCAUGUUGACAGAGCCUCAGAGGAAGCACGGGCUAAGUACGUG
rnacentral:rRNA from 1 species